CUCCGGUGAGGAGUCUAAACCCCGGCGGGAAGUUGUGAGAAAAUUGUGAUCCGGAGACACCUUUUGCAAACAAAAACAAACGACUAAGAGGGAAACCGCGGGGGCUCCGGCAGCUGGGGGGCAGUGAUAGUGGCGGUGGGAAGGAGGGAGGAGGAGGAGUUUCUGGGGCGCCACCGAGGGCCUGCAGUAAAUGGACAUGUGUAAUGCACUGGCAUAGUGUGCCCGGCUUCCAAUCUGUCCACCGUUCAGGUUUCAGGCUGGCACCAACCUCCCCAGAGAACAGUAGACUAUGCCUUCCUGUGCUCACUCUUUAGGGAGCAUAUUGUCUCCCUAGUUCCAUUUCAGUCAUAAAUUCAGGACGACUGCCCUCAAGGGCGGAUUUGCCUGGAAGUGGGGGUGGGGGUCGAAUCCGGAUCCCGAGAGGCUGAUCCUCUAAGAGACACUCUAGUUCUCCGGAGUACUCAAGUCAACCCCCAAAUUGUUUCUACUGCACUUUUUCUAGGCUCAACCUGGAUUUCUCACGACAUGGAGUCUGAGGUGGUAGGUCUCCGCGGUCCCAAUUUUGCUCCACAUUUUUGUUUUUAGGGAGGAGAUUCUAGAAAGGUGCAUUUAGCCCUAGUAAGAAGAAAGCAAGGUUUAGUUUAUAUUUUGGAAUUGGCCUUUUGAUCACUCAAGCUAUGUGGGGGAGAGCCUUAGAGAAAAUGCCGAAGAAACGUAGUAGCAACGAAUCUGGAUUGUCAGGGAAUCCGGUUCUGCAAAAAUAGAAUACCCUCUUCGGACGAACAGGGAAAGCGCUACAUCGAAUUCGGCUGGCGUUGGGUGAGGUUGUUGGAUUUUAGGUCUCUGCCAACGCCCCUGUUCUCUCUCGGCGGGCACAUUCCCGCAACUCCGAAGCCCUCCGGCAGUCAUUGCCUUGUCGCGGGGGUUAAGUUUUCACUGGAGCUGCCAAGGUCUCUUCUAUGCCUCUAGGGUUUUCUGCCCCAGGCGACCUCAGGGUGCCAGUCUUCUAAAGCCUUCUCCGCACCUGCAGCACUUACACACCUGGGCUCCGGCUUCCAGCUGCGGGCUGGGGCAGGGCUGCAGGCUCUUUAGCUCCGGCACACCCAUCCAUCCGCCAGUCUUUCCCAGGCGGAAACUCUGGGCAGCGGCACGGGUAGAGAGGGCGGCUCUACCAUUUAGCGGGCGUGCUCUGCGGGCUCGGAGUUGGAGCUCUCCCUGCGGACCUGACGUACCCUAGAGCAAGCCGACCAGAACCCUGUAUUCUGGCACCCCGGAGGCGCAAAGAGCAGCGUGGUACACCGGUCUGCGAGGCACCUCUCAGCUCGCAGCUAGGUGAAACUCUCCUGGAAGAGCCAGAGCAGCAGAGCGGUCUCCAGGUCCCCCUAGCCCAGUUGUCCCAGUGCUAGCCGCUAGCGACCUCCACUCAACCGCCUCUUUUUGGAAUCUAUAGCAGCCCUAGUCCCAGGUGGCAUACCCCCGCCUCCACCCCAGCUGGGCUCCUUCUCAUGCAAAGCAGUGGAGCCACAGGGUGGGGGAGCUGGAAAAGGACUGUAGGCGGGGACCUGUGUGGCAGCUGGACUAAGCUCCCGGCCCUUUUCCGAACCCGAGGCCCGCUGUUUCCUUGGGUGGGCAGGAAGAGGUUGCUCUUUCCGUUUGGGGGUGGAGGGACCGCGGGACCCAGAUGUGGGGGAAAGAGGAUUCCUUGCAGCGCUUUAGUGCGGUAGGGGAAUUGGGCCGAGGACCGGACGCCGGCUCUAGAUCCUAGGUCUGUUUGUCCAGGGGUCCAGAUGGCUCAGUAACAAGUCAGCGGUACUAACCCCAGCGUCUACAAGGGGUUGAAGGAGCGCAAGGCAGGGCUUGCCUCUUGGCUCCUGAAUUCUAGAUUUAAAGUCCAGAUUUAAUGCUUACACAGCAACAGCACACCAGAUUAAUGUUUUGUGUGGAGAAAUUGGGGGAGACCGGACUGUUUGUUUCUAUUUGAACUUUUAUUUUAAUGCAAUUGGUUAUGGAGACGUAGAGGAAAAAAUACCUGACUCAUCUUUCUAAAUUCUCCACCUCGGAAGCCACUCAUCUCAGUUCUACAUUGAAACGAAUGUCCUCUCAAGGAAAAGCUGCCCUCCUUACAACCUGCCCUCCUCACAACGCCAUACUUACUGUCUGCAUCCUCGAGUACACAAGCGCUUUCCUACCCCACAUCCUUCAAAGUCACACAGACCAACAGCCACUUACACCUUCCUGGGACGUUGUAAAUUCUGCACAGGUGCCAUGAAUUUCAGUUUGGAGGUUGGUCCACUGAUGGCUACAGAAUCCUGUACACCCAUUCCCACCGCACCCUCAGAGAAGGACCCAGAGGGUUUUUUAGGUCCCAAUUUCUUUUUCUGAGAAGCCCUUGAAAAUCAGUACAAGAGGAGAGACCCUGUCUGGAAAUUGGGGGUUGGGUGUAUUCUGCCAGCCCUCCUCAAGCGUUUCUGUUUGAGGAGCUAAAAGGCGCUCCCACUAAAAUCUUCUUUGAUCCCGAGGCCUUCUAGAUCCUGAGCCCCACCACCCCUUCUUCCUCCCACGUUCCGGAUUGAUUGACUCGCACAGAACAGGGACGGCUCUGCUGAUACUGAGAGAGCUGUGGCCGCCUCUGGCCACUUCCCUCCUCUUUCCUCUCCAGUUCAGUCUACGGACCCACAAAAGGGUGAUAAGGCCGAGAAAGUAGAUGUCUGGGGCUGCCCUGGCUCUAGGUGGUUCCUCUGCGUAGAGCCGCAGGCUGGCAUAUUCUCCACGCAGGUCCAGGGAUGGGGAGGAAGGACCUAGCGGGUAUCCCUGAACGCUGCGGGUCCGGGAAGCCACGCAAACUUCUCAGUUUGGGUGAGGAUGCAGCAUGUGCGAAUAGGGAACUGUUAGGCCAGGGUCCUUGCGUUCUGAUGGAUGACUUCUCCUGUUCCCUCCCUUCCCAUCUGUCCUCUCGUGAUUCAGGUUGCCUUAUUCAUUCCAUCACUUUCUCCACGAAAUAUCUACUUACGUCCAGUACUUUACAGUUUGUCUCCCCUGAGCGGCAUAGUAAGGGGGUUGGAGGUGGGGAAAACGGAUCGGUAUUAUCUCCACCUUCCGGAACAGGAAACCCAAGUUAGGAGAAACCUAAGUUAGGGGGCUUGCCCGAGAUCUCUUCAUCAGUGCACUAUUGAAGGUGAGAAAUUGACGGGAUCGGGGAGCGGUGUGUACUUUGCCCCUAGCCACGUUUUCCUAGCGGGGCUUGGGCAAUGGUGGAGGAGGGACAGUGGGACCGAGAAAGAGCAGCAUCCGGCAGGUCGUCAUGGUGUGCGCCUGGCCUGGGUAAACAACACUGACUUCCCACGAGGCCUGGAGGGACCCGGGGUAUGGGGAAGAGGGCGGGUUGGAGCAGCGAGGUCGAGGACGAGCCUGCUGAUCUCAGAUGCGAAUCAGCGCCAGUGCCGUGGAGCAAAGACAGUUUGGACAGCCUCGGAAAGGAGAGGGUCUGCUGGAGAAGUGAGAAGGACAGGGAACUGGGGGCGGGGGAGAAAAGGAGAGAAGGUCUGAGGGGAAAAAAGCAAGAGAGAAUAAAAGGAAAAAUGUGUCCGGAGAAAUUCACCCAGGAGCAGAGCAAAAGAAACGGAAAAGAGACCCAGAAAGACAGCCAGUGACAAAAAUAAAUAAAUAAUAAAAAGAAGGUGUCAGGGAAAAGCUUGUAUCCAGGACCCUGCUGUUCCCAGGGGGGCUUGGGCUGGAACCCAGAGAGUGUGCCGUGUGUGACAGGCGUGAUCCUGGGCGGGAGAAAAGGAGGCGGUGUUUUUUGGUGGGAGAUUCAGUGCCCAUGGAAAAGCAUGUGAGCGGCUCUGGGCAGGAAUCCAACAAAUAAAUAAAACGUCUAAGACGGCGUGACAACAAUGUGUAUUUGGGUGCGUGCCCGUGUUCCUCUGUCUGAGCACACGCACACCCGGUAAGGAAGACAAACGGGGCUCGUGCCUCAGAGUAAUUAAUCCUCUGGCUAAUUGACUCUCUCCCCGUACCUAAUCGCAGUGGUCACUGCCCAUAUCUGGAGAGAUAUCAAGUGGAGAGAGAGGACCCCAAAGCUAACAACCUUUGGGACUGAGAUUGAGUUCUUGCUGGACUUGGCAGCUCUAAGCUCUUUUCCUUGCUUCCUCCUCCUUUUUGGGCAGAGUUCAAUAGUUGUUGCUGCCUUGCCCCUCCAGGUUUGGGCAGCAUUAAUAAAGGUCUCAGAUAAGGGUAACCUGAUCUCUCUCUCUCCCCCAGUCUCUCUCUCUCUCUCUCUCUCUCUCUCUCUCUCACACACACACACACACACACACACACACACACACACAGUGAAGCUGUUCUACAGCCCUCCACUUGGGGAGCCCAAUGUCUGAGGCUGAAAGCCUCCCACUGCCCCUCUGCUGUACCUCUCCUGCCCCUCGGCAGUACCAAAGCUCUUUCUCCACUAUUGUUUGAUGGUGGUGGUGGGGAUGGUGGCAGAUCCCUGAGCUGCAUCCUUAUUUGGGUUACUACUUCCUCUACUCUUGUGGGACUUGGGAUAGUCCUACAGUCUUUAGUAAGGCAGGGGAGGUUUGGGAUGGUUUGCGAAGCAGCCUUGGGUGGAUGGAAAGAGAACAGUAGGAAGGAUGAGAUUUGGGAAAGGCUUGGGAGAGACUUCAUGAGACCAAACCGCUCAGAUGUGGGUUGAGGGACAGAAGCCCAGAAGGAAGCAGUUGCCAUCUGAUAAGAGUGAGGCCUCCAGGGACAAAGAAGGAAAAAGGUAGACAUUGUGCCCCAGGGGAAAGAACUUCAAGUGUGUGGGAGGCAGAAAGGUGGCCAUGUCUUUGUGCCUCUGUGAGUGCGAGGGCACAGUUCUGGAAUCUCUCUAUGGCGUGGGGAGGGAUCCAUCAUGCUACCCACAGCACCCUUAGUUCUCAUGACUGGGAAGAGUGGGCCAGGAGAGAGUAUUGGACUUGGAUUGACUCCUUGGUUGCUGAGUUGGCUGAAGGAGUCUGAGGUCUAUAGUCUGUCUGGUAAUGCAGUUUUGAGGCUUGGGUUUUAAAAGUGAAUGUCAACUCGAACCCCUGUGAGGUAGAAGUUUUGCUCUGUUGGCCUCUUCAGAGACUAAAUAAAUAGAUGUCGAGAUCCAUAAACCACCCAGGCCAGAGAGAGGAAGGAGGGGUGGAGGGGAGCAUUUUAGAAAAAAAUCCACCCCCCCAACACAUUCUUAAUUGUCCCUUGGGAACAUUUGUACAUUUGACCAAAGCAAAUCCCCAGGCAGUAUCGAGAAAAUUACUCAUAGGGACUGGAGGUCCAGAGAGAGUUGGGGAUGGGGAAAACAAGGAGGCCAGGAGAGAUGGCCAGCAUAUUUGUUUGAGCAGGUGAGAAACUUGCCCCCCUCCCCUGCCCCAUCUCUGUUGUGCUUUAGAAAAAAAGUGAGUAAGUGUACUAAAGUUCCAGGGGAAAGAAAGAGAAGGGCAUCUAAAAGGCAAAUCCAAACCAGAAAGGAAAGAAAGUGAAGAAGAAAGAAAAAGGCGGGGUUGGGAGAGAAACUAUAAUAAAAGAGGGUGAAGGCGGCCCCAGGAGGUUGGGCCUCGUCCCAAACCAUCCGUCUUCAUUGUCUCCGUGUGUGCAAAGGCAACUUCGGCAUAAGGAAAAGCCACUAUUGGAGCCGCGGCUUUAUUUUAUAUCCUAUACAUCAGGAGGGAGGCAAAGCUUUAUUUUCGCCAAGAGACAGAUAUUUUAUUUCUCUCUUACGGUUUUAUGUGUGAGAGAUGUCAGGUUGCCACAAUGGAUGGCUAAUGCAUAGGCAAGAGGAAGCCGUGUUGGCAUGCUGUGUGUCAUGGGGUCUGGGGGGGGUGAGCAGGCCUGGGAUUUAGGGCUGAUGGGACACUCUAGGGGAUUUCUGCUAAAACAUCUCUCUUCAUAAAUCCAGAAGCAUGGUCAGCUCAACAGGGAGAAGAAGGAGUUUUAGAGGGAAAAAGAGUUGGGCUUAGUAAUAAACGAACACACAAAGGAGCCGCUUACCUUCCAACAGGCCUGGGCAGUGGGGACAGACGGCUCCAUGGAAAUGCAGACUCAUAGCCACACACAUGCCAUUCACAGGGAAGUAUGUUCCAGGCAGAAUCAUGUCAGUUUUGCUUUCUUUUCAUGUUUUAUAUUUUUCUGCCUUCAGUUCUCCUCCUCCUCUAGAUAGGAAUCCUUUUUAACCUCAGAGCCUUGGGGGGAAAAGAGCCAUUAAUUUGCAAAUCAUCUGAUCUGUGAAAGGAUCAAGAUGACUAUUUUUCACCUCUAAAUCUAAAGUCUUGCGUGGACACACACAGGUACAAGCGAGCCCAUCAUGCUGCGAACCCUCGAGUGUAGGUCCCAGAUUUGAAUCCAAGAAAAGCCCCCACCCCUUGUCUUGCCUUUGAAUUCCCAAAGUGUAAAAUGCUCAUAUUUUCAAAACUGGGGAGGUGAGGAGACAGAAAAGUAGGGGAGGUCUGUGAAUUACGUGUUCCAUUCGGGACUUAAAUUUAGCAUCUCCCCUCCAUCCAACCCUCCUACCAGCAAUUUCUUAUAGGAAUAACUUUCAUUCAGUCUCAUGUUCUGUUCUUCAUUUUUUCAUAUCUUGGUUUAUCUCCUUUUUCUUUCUUCUCCCCCCACCGCCCCCCGUGGAAUGAAAAGGUGGUCAUGGUCUUCCCCUCUUUUCAGAGACUCUCAGACAGCACAGGCCCCCUAGACAAUAAGCAGGGGACCUGGCCACACUAUGUCCAGCCUUUGAGGAAGAUAAUUAACCUGUCUGGGCCUCAGUUUCCUCAUCUGUAACACAAGGGGAAUGGGUUAAAAGCUUGCUGAGUUCCCUACCAGCUCCCGACCUCCUCUGACCGAAUGAGAUAAUGUGUGAAAACACUUUGUGAACGCUAAAGCCAGACGAAUGCCAGGGAUUAUUAUUACGAUUCUAAUCAAUCCUCUUUUCUCCACAUGGAUCCCGGCUGUUUAACGCCAGCAAGCGGGCUAAAGAGGGCCCAAAGCGAGAAAGCUUAGCAGAGAUGGAAACGCUCUGUGCUUCUGAGGGGGAGGAAAAACCCUGCAUCUCCAGAAACAUUCUAUCUCUGAGGCCUGUGGGAAGGGAUGGGAGAGGGAGGAGAUCUGACUUGAUAUGACCCAUUUCAGUCAACAUGGCGACAGAGCAUAUUUCUUCAAAAGCAUCGUUUGUCUCCAAGUGACUGACUUAGAAACCUGAUGAGAAGGCGAUCUGCAAUUUUUUUUUUCCAGGAAGAAAGGAAAGAGCAAGGUGUAGCUGAUUAGCAAGUUAAUUAUUUCAGUACCCCAAGGGUUCCAGUGUGGUGGUAAGUUGUCCAGCCCUGGUGUAAUUUCACAGUCCGUGCAUUUCUUGGUGAGCACCUGGGGUGCCUGAGUCUGUCUCUCUCUCUCCAUCCACCUGCCUUGUGUCUUCCUGACAUACCUGGGGAGAGGAGGAGGAGCUAGGGUGGGAGUUGGUACAGACAUUCAUAGAGGCUGUGGGUGGGAGGUCCAGGCAGGACAGGGUGGAGGAGGCCUAAGUGAUAGCUUCCACCUCCACUGAGUACCUGGUCCUUUCUUAUUCCUCUCUCUCUCUCUCUCUCUCUCUCUCUCUCUCUCUCUCUCUCUCUCUCUCAAAAAUAAUCUUUUGUUUAAUAAAUAUUAAUGAAGCAGGUUAGCUGAAAUUGGGGAUGCCAUGAGGUUAUUUCCCAGACUUGGCCUGGAGAAAAACUGGGUUGGAGAAGCCCUGGCCUCUCACGUCCUCUGAGCAGCCAGCUCUCCCCAAGUGUCUGAUUUCUAACCUCUGGCCACCACUUGUUCUGCAGUAGUGGCCUGACUUUAAGAUCUGAUUCCCCCUCAGGGAGGGUGGGGAGGAUUGUGUGGUCAAAGGGACAACUCCCCUCAGAGAGAGAAUUUGGGGAUGUGAACAUGAGCCUCAGAAUUAGCAGCUUCUGCCCUCCGUUUGUUCCAUUCUGGUUUCUGCUCCCUUGGCUGGUAGGGCCAGCCCUCUGCAGCUUCUGCCGAGCUGGGUGAAGGGAGGGCUCUACAGUUUACUUAAGAGUGGUCCCAUCUGCUCAGACUGGCCUUUCAUAAGGGGAGGGAUUUAUGCAGUGUCCUUGUGCACAGACCUGGGAUUUGGCUGAAAACCUUGGGCCUCUGAGAAUAGUCCUGAACGCUAAAAUGUUCAGCCACCGAGAUGAUUCAUGAUCUUGUCUUGUGGACAGGGUGUGCGUGCGUGUGUGUGCAUGUGUGCUUGUUGGGGAGUGCAGACACAUGCUGCUAGAUAUUUUCUGCCAUUCUCACUUUGAAUCCAAACAUUAGGAAACUUUUUUAUUCUUCUUCCCCCCCCCCCCACCUUCCGUGUUCACUCAGGAGAUA
rnacentral:lncRNA from 1 species